GACGAACGCUGGCGGCGUGCCUAAUACAUGCAAGUAGGACGCAGUUGCGAACGGGUGAUUAACGCGUAGGUAACUACCUAUUAGAGGGGGAUAACUAUUGGAAACGAUAGCUAAUACCGCAUACUAGUAGCUGGACCUGCGUUGUAUUAGCUAGUAGGUAGGGUAAUGGCCUACCUAGGCAACGAUACAUAGCCUGCCUGAGAGGGGGAUCGGCCACAUUGGGACUGGGAAAAGGCCCAGACCCCUACGGGAGGCAGCAGUAGGGAAUCUUCGGCAAUGGGGGGAACCCUGACCGAGCAACGCCGCGUGAGUGAAGAAGGUUUUCGGAUCGUAAAGCUCUGUUGUUAAGGAAGCGGUACUUGACCAGAAAGGGACGGCUAACUACGUGCCAGCAGCCGCGGUAAUUC
rnacentral:rRNA from 1 species